rnacentral:tRNA from 1 species
AGGGGCUUAGGUUAGAACGAGACCAAGGGCCUUCAAAGCCCUAAGCGGGUGUGGAAGUCCCCCAGCCCCUG